UACAGAGGGUGCGAGCGUUGUUCGGAAUUAUUGGGCGUAAAGCGCUUGUAGGCGGCCUGUCAAGUCGCGUGUGAAAUCCCCUGGCUUAACCAGGGAAGUGCGCGCGAAACUGAAGGGCUUGAGUGCCGGAGAGGGUCGCGGAAUUCCCGGUGUAGAGGUGAAAUUCGUAGAUAUCGGGAGGAACACCAGUGGCGAAGGCGGCGACCUGGACGGACACUGACGCUGAGACGCGAAAGCGUGGGGAGCAGACAGG
rnacentral:rRNA from 1 species